UGGGGAAUUUUGGACAAUGGGCGAAAGCCUGAUCCAGCAAUGCCGCGUGUGUGAAGAAGGCCUUCGGGUUGUAAAGCACUUUUGUCCGGAAAGAAAUCCUUGGCUCUAAUACAGUCGGGGGAUGACGGUACCGGAAGAAUAAGCACCGGCUAACUACGUGCCAGCAGCCGCGGUAAUACGUAGGGUGCAAGCGUUAAUCGGAAUUACUGGGCGUAAAGCGUGCGCAGGCGGUUUGCUAAGACCGAUGUGAAAUCCCCGGGCUCAACCUGGGAACUGCAUUGGUGACUGGCAGGCUAGAGUAUGGCAGAGGGGGGUAGAAUUCCACGUGUAGCAGUGAAAUGCGUAGAGAUGUGGAGGAAUACCGAUGGCGAAGGCAGCCCCCUGGGCCAAUACUGACGCUCAUGCACGAAAGCGUGGGGAGCAAACAGGAUUAGAUACCCUGGUAGUCCACGCCCUAAACGAUGUCAACUAGUUGUUGGGGAUUCAUUUCCUUAGUAACGUAGCUAACGCGUGAAGUUGACCGCCUGGGGGAGUACGGUCGCAAGAUUAAAACUCAAAUGAAUUGACGGGGU
rnacentral:rRNA from 1 species